rnacentral:rRNA from 1 species
GACGAAGGAUGCAAGCGUUAUCCGGAUUCAUUGGGUUUAAAGGGAGCGUAGGCGGUAUUGUAAGUCAGUGGUGAAAUCUCGCGGCUUAACUGCGAAACUGCCAUUGAUACUGCAGGACUUGAGUACAGUUGCCGUUGGCGGAAUAUGACAUGUAGUGGUGAAAUACAUAGAGAUGUCAUAGAACACCGAUUGCGAAGGCAGCUAACGAAACUGUAACUGACGCUGAGGCUCGAAAGUGUGGGGAUCAAACAGG